AUUGAACUGAAGAGUUUGAUCCUGGCUCAGAUUAAACGCUGGCGGCAUGCCUUACACAUGCAAGUCGAACGGCAGCACGGGGUGGUAACACUCUGGUGGCGAGUGGCGGACGGGUGAGUAAAGCAUCGGAACGUGCCCUGGAAUGGGGGAUAACGUAGCGAAAGUUACGCUAAUACGCAUAUUCUGUGAGCAG
rnacentral:rRNA from 1 species